GUUGGCUUGGAAGCAGCCAUUCAUUUAAAGAGUGCGUAACAGCUCACUAGUCGAGGAGUCCGGCGUGGAUAAUACUCGGGCAUAAACUGUUUACCGAAGCUAUGGAUGUGUAAACACAUGGUAGGGGAGCAUUCCAACGGCGUCGAAGGUGAAGGAUGACCUUUGCUGGAGCUUUUGGAAACGCAAAUGUAGGUAUAAGUAACGAUAAAGGAGGUGAGAAACCUCCUCGCCGAAAGACUAAGGUUUCCUGAUCAACGUUAAUCGGAUCAGGGUAAGUCGGGACCUAAGGUUAAGCCGAACGGCGAUACCGAUGGAAGAAUGGUUUAAUAUUCCCAUACUACUUUAUGGAGCGAUGUGGAGACGGAGAAGUGACAGUCCUGCCAUCUGACGGAAUAGGUGGUUGAAGAGUGUAGAUGUAGAUUCCUGUAGGCAAAUCCGCAGGGAGAGUCGACCUUGACAGUAUGCCGCGUGCUUGCACAAGGCAAAAUGGACGUAAUCAGGCUCCCAAGAAAAUCCGCUAAGCAUAUUCAUAAAGUACCCGUACCGUAAACGGACACACGUAGUUGGGUUGAAAAUACUGAGGCGCUCGAGUGAUUCACGGUUAAGGAACUAGGCAAAUUGACCCUGUAACUUCGGGAUAAAGGGUCCCUACUGAGAGGUAGGGCGCAGAGAAUAGGUCCAGGCAACUGUUUAACAAAAACACAUGGCUGUGCGAAAUAGAAAUAUGAAGUAUACAGCCUGACACCUGCCCGGUGCUGGAAGGUUAAGAGGAGAGCUCAUCGCAAGAGAAGGCUUGAAUUGAAGCCCCAGUAAACGGCGGCCGUAACUAUAACGGUCCUAAGGUAGCGAAAUUCCUUGUCGGGUAAGUUCCGACCUGCACGAAUGGUGUAAUGAUCUGGACACUGUCUCAACCGUGAGCUCGGUGAAAUUGUAGUAUCGGUGAAGAUGCCGAUUACCCGCGAUGGGACGAAAAGACCCCGUGAACCUUUACUAUAGCUUUACAUUGAAUUUGGGCAAUCGAUGUGUAGGAUAGGCCGGAGACAUUGAAUCAGGUACGCCAGUAUUUGUGGAGUCGCCGUUGAAAUACGGCCCUUUGGUUGUUUGAGUUCUAACCCGCAGAAGCGGGGACACUGUAUGGUGGGUAGUUUGACUGGGGUGGUCGCCUCCAAAAGAGUAACGGAGGCUUCUAAAGGUACCCUCAGACCGAUUGGUAACCGGUCGCAGAGUGUAAUGGCAUAAGGGUGCUUGACUGGGAGACAGACAAGUCGAUCAGGUAGGAAACUAGAGCAUAGUGAUCCGGUGGUUCCGCAUGGAAGGGCCAUCGCUCAAAGGAUAAAAGGUACUCCGGGGAUAACAGGCUGAUCGCUCCCAAGAGCUCAAAUCGACGGAGCGGUUUGGCACCUCGAUGUCGGCUCGUCACAUCCUGGGGCUGGAGAAGGUCCCAAG
rnacentral:rRNA from 1 species